GAUGAAGAACGCAGCGAAAUGCGAUAAGUAAUGUGAAUUGCAGAAUUCAGUGAAUCAUCGAAUCUUUGAACGCACAUUGCGCCCGCCAGUAUUCUGGCGGGCAUGCCUGUUCGAGCGUCAUUACAACCCUCAGGCCCCCGGGCCUGGCGUUGGGGAUCGGCGGAGCCCCCCGUGGGCACACGCCGUCCCCCAAAUGCAGUGGCGGUCCCGCCGCAGCUUCCAUCGCGUAGUAGCUAACACCUCGCGACUGGAGAGCGGCGCGGCCACGCCGCAAAACACCCAACUCUUCUGAAGUUGACCUCGAAUCAGGUAGGAAUACCCGCUGAACUUAAGCAUAUCAAUAAGCGGAGGA
rnacentral:misc_RNA from 1 species